UCCCUGGUGGCUCAGACGGUAAAGCAUCUGCCUGCAAUGCUGGAGACCUGGGUUCGAUUCCUGGCUGGGGAA
rnacentral:tRNA from 1 species